UGUAGACGGGGAGAUAUGUGUGAAUAUGCACAUGGAGUUUUUGAGUGCUGGCUCCAUCCUGCUCAAUAUCGAACUCGGCUUUGCAAAGAUGGUACAAGUUGUGCUAGAAGAGUUUGCUUCUUUGCCCACACUGUGGAGGAACUCCGUCCAUUAUAUUUAUCCACUGGUUCUGCUGUUCCCUCUCCUCGCACAAGCACGUCUGGUGCCACUGCAAUGGAUUUUGCUGCAGCCAUGAGUCUCUUGCCAGGUUCUCCUUCUUCAUUAUCUGUUAUGUCUCCUUCGCCAUUCACUCCACCCAUGUCUCCAUCUGGCAAUGGUAUGUCACAUUCUUCGGUGGCUUGGCCCCAACCAAAUGUUCCAGCCUUACAUCUCCCUGGAAACAAUCUUCAGUCCAGUCGCUUGAGAUCUUUCUUUAAUGCAAGAGACAUUCCAGCUGAGGAC
rnacentral:misc_RNA from 1 species